CUUGGUUCCCAGGUGAAUCUUGAUAUCCACCUUCUGUCUCUUCUGCUCGAGUAUGCUUAGCAGGUACUCCUGAAACACUCCUAUUUUGGUAAAGAAGUGUUCAUUGUGCCAGCAGCCCUCCAUGUUAUCAAAGUCGACCCCCAGUCCGAGAAGGAACUUCACGCUGCAUGGGUCUAGGGCAAUCUGCUGGGGGCGGCAGAGCAGCGCCGUGCGGUACCUCUCAUCCAGUAGUGUCAGCUUCAGCACCUUCCCUGAGCGAACAGCGACUAGCGCGGCCGUUAGCCCCACGGGACCCGAGCCCACUAUUAGAACCGAGAUCCUGGCCCGCCAUUGCCUGAUCCCGUCUAGGCUAACUUUGACCACCACGUAAACCACCACGGCUACCAAAGUGCUGAAUGCGGUGUCGUAGGCUAGAGCGCGGUACUGUUCCUCUGUGUCCUCGUUGUUGAUGCUCUUGACUCCGGUGCUUUCUGCCUGAGCGCCCAUGCUGUGGCUAGAUAUGAGUAUGAGUUGUAAGAGGCAGAGAGUCUAUGCGUGAUCACGCUACUGCCUCAGCGAAGGUUCUGCAACAGAGCAGCGCAGCUUCUCUCCACACAGUUUGUGUAUUCAUAAUUAUUUAGGUAAAUCAUUGACAAAAAUAUUACGUUUUAGAAAAAUAAAUAUAUAGUUGAAAAAUCCAAUUUGCAAGCGUGUAACUGAUGAACAGGAAAAUAUGUAGACUAUUUGUGUAGAUGAUAAGUUCUGAACGUGAACAGUACGAACUGUAAUCGCAUUUACAAACUUGUAACUGAGUAGUUCCAAGCAAUAAUGGCACUCGUAAACAAGGGCAUGUCAUUUCUGACAGUUCACAUUUUUUACGGUGAUUUAGCGUACUACGGUACAAAAAAAGACUCACAGAUGUGUAAACGACGAUUUACAAACAAGCAGAGCGAGACAGACCAAAGGAAUCGGCUGUGGAAGGCGGGACCUGUUUCUGACCAAUCAGAUUAAGAUUGAACAGAUCAGCGUACUCUACACAGGUUGCUUGGUGACCUUGACAGCUCCCUCCGUGUCUGCAACAUUGUUCAUG
ensembl:lncRNA